rnacentral:misc_RNA from 1 species
GUGUUUAGAAUCUAGUGUUCUCUUUAAGUGCUGUAAGUUAUAGUCUGUUGCUGGGACUGAUAGAAUUAUGUUGUUGAGCGAGUAGUAAUCUGGAGGUUUGUAACCAUAAUGAUGUUAAUCUUCAUCUUUGUUAAUGCUGUUAACUGAAGAAUUUAAAUCUGUUAUAUCGGAUCUUUACUGAAUAGGAUAAUGUAUUAUAACAUUUGACAGUCAUGCUUAUCUAAAACACUGUAUAGGU